rnacentral:rRNA from 1 species
GACGAACGCUGGCGGCGUGCUUAACACAUACAAGUCGAACGGAAAGGCCCUGCUUUUGUGGGGUGCUCGAGUGGCGAACGGGUGAGUAACACGUGAGUAACCUGCCCUUGACUUUGGGAUAACUUCAGGAAACUGGGGCUAAUACCGGAUAGGAGCUCCUGCUGCAUGGUGGGGGUUGGAAAGUUUCGGCGGUUGGGGAUGGACUCGCGGCUUAUCAGCUUGUUGGUGGGGUAGUGGCUUACCAAGGCUUUGACGGGUAGCCGGCCUGAGAGGGUGACCGGCCACAUUGGGACUGAGAUACGGCCCAGACUCCUACGGGAGGCAGCAGUGGGGAAUAGUGCACAAUGGGCGGAAGCCUGAUGCAGCAACGCCGCGUGCGGGAUGACGGCCUUCGGGUUGUAAACCGCUUUCGCCUGUGACGAAGCGUGAGUGACGGUAAUGGGUAAAGAAGCACCGGCUAACUACGUG